CUUGCGCCAUCCCGUAAUCUCGUUGCGCAGCUUUGAUUCGACGCGUUUUUUUAAAUCUGCCUUUUGCCGAGCAAUCCCUCUAUAAAUUUUCCUGAAACAUACGAAAUAAUAUAUAUUAGUGUUGGCAUUAAUCGUAUUUCGGGUUAUAAAAUGGUCGUGUGGGUGCUUCUUGACUAUUUCGACCUCCCACACGAUUUGCUGACCUAAUUUUUUAUUUUGUUUGUGUAUUAUUUGCUCUUGGAACUGUCAGCACAGGGUUAAGUGGAUCAGGACAUUUGGGGCGACCCCAAACGGCAUCCGUUUACUGACCGUCCUUCGAACUGUGGAGGGCAGUGCACGCAGGCUCCACUGGGAUUACCAGGUCAAUGUACAUGCUGCCUCGCGCGUUUUUCUAUUGCAGCAGGCACGCGCGGGCUGUGUUGAUCCCGCCCCCCUCUUGCAAUCUUAGGGCUCCAGCCACGCGCUGUUUUUUCCUUGCUUCUCCGCGCGUUCUCCUUUGUCUUGCAGCCACGCGCGUGAUUUUCUAUUGUUUCCCCCGCACGUCCCCACGCGCAAUUUUUGCAGUGCUAGUGCUGCAGUCCCGCAUUUGAUCUUCUGGUGCUACGCGAGGUUUUUUCGUGGUUUAGCGGAUAUAUUUUAGUGUUAAGUUUUAGCGCACGAAUCGUUGUAAAAUACUGGAGAGUAGGCUCCUACCCGCGCGUGUAUGAAGUGUGUGCUUAGAAGCUCUAGAAGUGCAUAUACAUACAUGUGUACAUAUGUAUGCAUGUGAAAAGGCAGCGUAGAGCCAUCCCUCGUUCCUAUUUUGGAGAGAAGCCCAGUGUUUGAUUUGGAGAAAAUUGGUGCAGCUGCGUCACGUGUUUCUAUAGUGGAGACUACCACAAAUCUCCACGCUCCUAUUCAUCUGCUGUUGUGGAGAGUAACUGUUCUUCGCUCAGGGGACCCGCUCGCACGUGCCUAUAGUAGGCAGUGGGGGGAAGGAGAAGGAGAUGGAUGGACACUGCAACAGCAGCCGCACUUCAUUAUAAGCCGAGCAUAUGCCCUGCUCCCCCACUCUCCACCCCUUGGUCGGGAUAAUUGAAUAUGGGUCUAUUAAUGCGCUUAACACAAAAGCUGCUGCUGCUGCUGCUGCUGUUCUGAUGCUGAUGAUGAUGGGCCACAAUCCAAAGGGACCGUACCUUUGGUCAUGGAAGAAAGGGAUAGAUAAUGCGAGCGAAUAUCACUGACAAGGAAGAGAGGAAACACACUGCAUACGCAUGUGCAUAUGUAUGUAUAUUAAUAC